rnacentral:lncRNA from 1 species
GAUGGAAAUAAGUGUCCUUGUAAGAAGCUGAAGAGACCAGAGCUCUCUUUAUCAGGAAAGAUCCAAAAGACAGCCAGCUAUGCCAGCCAGAAAAGGAGCUCUCACUAUGACCAAAUCUUCCAGCACUUGAUCCUUGACUUCCCAGCCUUAAGAACUACUUACUGUUACUGUGGCUACUACUUUAACUGCUCCUGCUGGCUAACAUUUUAUUGUUGGCUUCACAUGUGGCAGGUACUGGUUCCUGAGGCAGCUACUUAUGAGUCUCGGCUCUGCUAUCUACAGAGACAGAGAAUAAGUGCCUGAGGAGAGUAGUGAGGACAUUCACUCUCCAGAUUUUGGUUCAGUACCAUUCUUCAUUGAAAACCAGGCUUAGCUGAAGAUAUAUCUUAUUCCAGGACUGGAGCAAGAAAUUAUAAAAUGAUUUUGGGAUGUAUUGUGCAAAAAAGAAGGAAAAUGCUCAAAAACGGAAGCAUCUUGAAAGUCCAAAUUGAUGACAGUCUGAA